GACAGAGGUGCCGAGCGUUAGGCGGAAUCACUGGGCUUAAAGCGUGUGUAGGCGGACCCCUAAGCGCCAUCGUGAAAUCCCGCCGCUCAACGGCGGAACCGCGUGGCGGACUGGGGGUCUUGAGGGACCCAGGGGCGAGCGGAACAGGCGGUGGAGCGGUGAAAUGCGUAGAUAUCGCCUGGAACGCCGACGGUGAAAACAGCUCGCUGGGGGUCAUCUGACGCUGAGACACGAAAGCCAGGGGAGCGAACGGG
rnacentral:rRNA from 1 species